rnacentral:rRNA from 1 species
AGUAGUUUGUAUCCUGGCUCAGGAUGAACGCUGGCGGCGUAGCUUAACACAUGCAAGUCGAGCGAAAAUAAUUGAGAGCUUUGCUUUUGUAUUAUUUUAGCGGCGGACGGGCGAGUAACGUGUGGGCAACCUACCUUUUACUGUGGAAUAAUCGUUGGAAACGACGACUAAUACCGCAUACGAUUUUCUGAAGGCAUCUUUGGGAAAAGAAAGGAAAUAUUCGGUAAAAGAUGGGCCCGCAUCUGAUUAGCUAGUUGGUGAGAUAAUAGCCCACCAAGGCAACGAUCAGUAGCCGACCUGAGAGGGUGACCGGCCACAUUGGGACUGAGACACGGCCCAAACUCCUACGGGAGGCAGCAGUGGGGAAUAUUGCACAAUGGGCGGAAGCCUGAUGCAGCAACGCCGCGUGAAGGAAGACGGUUUUCGGAUUGUAAACUUCUAUCAAUAGGGAAGAAAGAAAUGACGGUACCUAAAUAAGAAGCCCCGGCUAACUACGUG